AGGACGAACGCUGGCGGCGUGCCUAACACAUGCAAGUCGAACGGGACCAGGGGCAACUCUGGUUCAGUGGCGGACGGGUGCGUAACACGUGAGGAACAUGACUUUCGGCGGGGAGUAGCCGGCCCAACGGCCGGGUAAUACCGCGUACGACCUCUCGGGGACGAUCCCCGGUUGGUGAAAGCAGCAAUGCACCGAAAGAGUGCCUCGCGGCCUAUCAGCUAGUUGGUGAGGUAAUGGCUCACCAAGGCGACGACGGGUAGCUGGUCUGAGAGGAUGGCCAGCCACAUUGGGACUGAGACACGGCCCAGACUCCUACGGGAGGCAGCAGUGGGGAAUAUUGCGCAAUGGGCGAAAGCCUGACGCAGCGACGCCGCGUGUGGGAUGACGGCCUUCGGGUUGUAAACCACUGUCGGGAGGGACGAAUGCGCCGCAAGGCGAGUGACGGUACCUCCAAGGAAGCACCGGCUAACUCCGUGCCAGCAGUCCGCGGUAA
rnacentral:rRNA from 1 species